UGGAUCCAGACUUUGAUUCUGGCUCAGGAUGAACGCUGGCGGCGUGCCUAAUACAUGCAAGUCGAACGAAACUUCUUUAUCACCGAGUGCAUGCACUCACCGAUAAAGAGUUGAGUGGCGAACGGGUGAGUAACACGUGGGCAACCUGCCCAAAAGAGGGGGAUAACACUUGGAAACAGGUGCUAAUACCGCAUAACCAUAGUUACCGCAUGGCAACUAUGUAAAAGGUGGCUAUGCUACCGCUUUUGGAUGGGCCCGCGGCGCAUUAGCUAGUUGGUGGGGUAAAGGCUUACCAAGGCAAUGAUGCGUAGCCGAACUGAGAGGUUGAUCGGCCACAUUGGGACUGAGACACGGCCCAAACUCCUACGGGAGGCAGCAGUAGGGAAUCUUCCACAAUGGGCGAAAGCCUGAUGGAGCAACGCCGCGUGGGUGAAGAAGGUCUUCGGAUCGUAAAACCCUGUUGUUAGAGAAGAAAGUGCGUGAGAGUAACUGUUCACGUUCCGACGGUAUCUAACCAGAAAGCCACGGCUAACUACGUGCCAGCAGCCGCGGUAAUACGUAGGUGGCAAGCGUUAUCCGGAUUUAUUGGGCGUAAAGGGAACGCAGGCGGUCUUUUAAGUCUGAUGUGAAAGCCUUCGGCUUAACCGGAGUAGUGCAUUGGAAACUGGGAGACUUGAGUGCAGAAGAGGAGAGUGGAACUCCAUGUGUAGCGGUGAAAUGCGUAGAUAUAUGGAAGAACACCAGUGGCGAAAGCGGCUCUCUGGUCUGUAACUGACGCUGAGGUUCGAAAGCGUGGGUAGCAAACAGGAUUAGAUACCCUGGUAGUCCACGCCGUAAACGAUGAAUGCUAAGUGUUGGAGGGUUUCCGCCCUUCAGUGCUGCAGCUAACGCAAUAAGCAUUCCGCCUGGGGAGUACGACCGCAGGGUUGCAACUCAAAGGAAUUGACGGA
rnacentral:rRNA from 1 species